AACGAACGCUGGCGGUGUGCUUAACAGAUGCAAGUCGAACGAGAAAGUUUCCUUCGGGAAGCGAGUAAAGUGGCGCAAGGGUGAGUAACACGUGAAUAAUCUACCCUCGAGACUGGGAUAACCUGGUGAAAACUAGGCUAAUACCGGAUAAGACCACGUCCCGCAAGGGAUGCGGGAAAAGGAGGCUCAACCUCCACUUGGGGAUGAGUUCGCGGACCAUUAGCUUGUUGGUGAGAUAACAGCUCACCAAGGCUACGACGGGUAGCUGGUCUGAGAGGACGAUCAGCCACACUGGGACUGAGACACGGCCCAGACUCCUACGGGAGGCAGCAGUGGGGAAUAUUGCGCAAUGGGCGAAAGCCUGACGCAGCCACGCCGCGUGAGGGACG
rnacentral:rRNA from 1 species